AACGAACGCUGGCGGCAUGCCUAACACAUGCAAGUCGAACGAGACCUUCGGGUCUAGUGGCGCACGGGUGCGUAACGCGUGGGAACCUGCCCUUAGGUUCGGAAUAACUCCCCGAAAGGGGUGCUAAUACCGGAUAAUGUCUUCGGACCAAAGAUUUAUCGCCUUUGGAUGGGCCCGCGUUGGAUUAGCUAGUUGGUAGGGUAAAAGCCUACCAAGGCGACGAUCCAUAGCUGGCCUGAGAGGAUGAUCAGCCACACUGGGACUGAGACACGGCCCAGACUCCUACGGGAGGCAGGAGUGGGGAAUAUUGGACAAUGGGCGAAAGCCUGAUCCAGCAAUGCCGCGUGAGUGAUGAAGGCCUUAGGGUUGUAAAGCUCUUUUACCCGGGAUGAUAAUGACAGUACCGGGAGAAUAAGCUCCGGCUAACUCCGUG
rnacentral:rRNA from 1 species